rnacentral:ncRNA from 1 species
UAAAUAUUUAAUUAUAGUAUUAAAAUUAUAUUUAUUAUGCUAUUUUAUAUAUGAAUUAUUUUUAGAUAAUAAAUUUGUAGUAUAUAGUUUUAAAUUUAAAAGAAAUUUUGAUUUAGGUAAUAAUAAUAAAGUUGACAAAAUUUGUGCCAGCAGUUGCGGUUAUACAAAUAAUUUAAUAUAAUUUUUUUAGUUAAAAUUAAAUGUUAAUUUUUAAUUUAAUUUAAAUUUAUUAGGUGAAAUUUUAAAUUUAUAAAAUUAUAAUUAUAAUAAUUGAAGUUUAGAAAAUUUAUGUUUAAACUAGGAUUAGAUACCCUAUUAUAAUAGUAAUAAUAUUUAAAACUAAAUGAUUAAUAGUUAAGUUCUUUAAAGUUAAAUAAUUUGGCGGUAUUUUAGUCUUUUCAGAGGAACCUGUCCUAUAAUUGAUAAUCCACGAUUAAAUUAACUUAAAUUAGAAAUUUAUAUAUCGUCGUGAAAAAUAUUUUUUUAGAAUUUAAUAUUUAGAAAAUUAGAUUUUAUAAUAAUUCAGAUCAAGGUAUAGUUUAUAUUUAAGAAGAGAUGGGUUACAUUAAAUUUAUUUUUGGAAAUAAAAUUUAAAUUUUUAUAGAAAUUGGAUUUGAAAGUAAUUAAAAAUUAUUUUGUUUUAAUGAUUUAGCUCUAAAAUAUGUACAUAUCGCCCGUCACUUUCAUUUUAAAAUGAAAUAAGUCGUAACAGAGUAGAUUUACUGGAAAGUGAAUCUAGAAGUCA